rnacentral:rRNA from 1 species
AGUAACACGUGGGUAACCUGCCCUUAAUGGGGGAUAACAUUUGGAAACAGAUGCUAAUACCGCAUAAAUCCAAGAACCGCAUGGUCUUGGCUGAAAGAUGGCGUAAGCUAUCGCUUUUGGAUGGACCCGCGGCGUAUUAGCUAGUUGGUGAGGUAACGGCUCACCAAGGCAAUGAUACGUAGCCGAACUGAGAGGUUGAUCGGCCACAUUGGGACUGAGACACGGCCCAAACUCCUACGGGAGGCAGCAUG